UCAAGGAGACAGAGGCUGUGUUUGAAUGAUUGUUGCUCUUUUGGUUGAACUCUGACGUGAGAACCUGUAACAUGACUUCUGAUUUGUGUCUCCCUCCAGCCCACCAGGUAAAGGAAUCUGUGGAGGCAGUUGUUGCCUCUUCCAUCGAAAUUCUGUCACCUGAUCAUCUGAACGUCUGAAGAGAAAUCCUUGGAGAAACCCGGGUCCCCCGCAUUGAGAACUUUUCCUGAACGACGAAUGGAGUCUUACAAUUCCCUCUACCUUCACCCUCGCGCGUUAAUUUGAUUAUUCAUUUGAGUUGGCAAGGCCGGCAGUACAAGAUGCCUUUAGCUUUGGGAAUUAUCCUGGAGCUGGAACUGAGGCAGAGGAGCUGUUAUGCAUCUAAAGUCAGAAAUAUAAACACGCACUGUCUGUUUGGCGGAAACCCCUUAAUAGUAUCUUCCAAUGGAGGAUCAAGACACUUUGUGAAUUUUCCCUAGAUAAUGCCCAUAUUCCGAAUGACUGAUCAGAGAACUCCCGUAUUGUUAAGUAAAAUGAGAGGAAGGCCAGUGACGUGGGAGUCGAACAAUGGCAUUUCUGAAUCAGUUUGCUUGAUUGACGUUUGGGGGCUUCGUGACCCCAGGGAAUAGGACUCAUUACUGUGAAUACACCAAAACAUCAACCAAGAUUAGAACUCUAGAUCCUGUUUUAAUCCCAUUUCAGUCUAAAUUAUAGUGGGAAAAUAUCAAAUCUGGGAAGAGAAAGAAAGAAUGACUUCUUCAUACACUGACUGAACCUUUUAAUUGUAUUAAGAAGAGAAAAUGUGAACGUUAAGCAGAAAUAGCUUUAAUAUCUUAGCCAUCGUAACGAAGAUUUUUAAAAAACAAACUACACAGAUAGGAAGGGUUGCUAAGAACCCUUGUGCAGGACAAAACAUUUCAUUGUAUUGAGGAGAUGCUCUGUUGAAGAAAUGUGUAGAGACAGCCUCUCCCAUCCCCCAUCAUGUUCGUUUACAAAUAACAGUAGUAAUUUUUAAAACUCCACAA